UAAGCGGAGGAAAAGAAACUAACAAGGAUUCCCCUAGUAACUGCGAGUGAAGCGGGAAAAGCUCAAAUUUAAAAUCUGGUGGUCUUUAGGCCAUCCGAGUUGUAAUUUAGAGAAGCGUCUUCCGCGCCGGACCAUGCACAAGUCUCCCGGAAUGGAGCGUCAUAGAGGGUGAGAAUCCCGUCUUUGGCAUGGACACACCGGGGCUUCUGUGAUGCGCUCUCGAAGAGUCGAGUUGUUUGGGAAUGCAGCUCAAAAUGGGUGGUGAACUCCAUCUAAAGCUAAAUAUUGGCGAGAGACCGAUAGCGAACAAGUACCGUGAGGGAAAGAUGAAAAGCACUUUGGAAAGAGAGUGAAACAGUACGUGAAAUUGUUGAAAGGGAAACGCUUGAAGUCAGUCGCGUUGACCGAGACUCAGCCUUGCCUCGGCUUGGUGUACUUCUCGGCUGACGGGCCAGUAUCAAUUUUGUCCUUCGGAUAAUGGCAAGGGAAAGGUGGCACCUUUACCGGUGUGUUAUAGUCUCUUGUCGCAUGCGAGGGGCGGGAUUGAGGAACUCAGCACGCACC
rnacentral:rRNA from 1 species